rnacentral:rRNA from 1 species
AACGAACGCUGGCGGCAUGCCUAACACAUGCAAGUCGAACGAGACCUUCGGGUCUAGUGGCGCACGGGUGCGUAACGCGUGGGAACCUGCCUUUAGGUUCGGAAUAACUCAGAGAAAUUUGAGCUAAUACCGGAUAAUGUCUUCGGACCAAAGAUUUAUCGCCUUUAGAUGGGCCCGCGUUGGAUUAGCUAGUUGGUGGGUAAAGGCCUACCAAGGCGACGAUCCAUAGCUGGUCUGAGAGGAUGAUCAGCCACACUGGGACUGAGACACGGCCCAGACUCCUACGGGAGGCAGCAGUGGAGAAUAUUGGACAAUGGGCGCAAGCCUGAUCCAGCCAUGCCGCGUGAGUGAAGAAGGCCUUAGGGUUGUAAAACUCUUUCGCCGGUGAAGAUAAUGACGGUAACCGGAGAAGAAGCCCCGGCUAACUUCGUGCCAGCAGCCGCGGUAAU